AACAUAGAAGUAAAAUUUACAUUUAGUUUCGGCCUAAAAUUAAGGGAAAACCCCUCAUGUUU
rnacentral:tRNA from 1 species